rnacentral:rRNA from 1 species
GCCUGUUUAUCAAAAACAUGGCUCCUCGCUCAUCAAAGAUGGGGAGUCGGACCUGCCCAGUGAAGUUUUUCAACGGCCGCGGUACUCUGACCGUGCAAAGGUAGCAUAAUCAUUUGCCUUAUAAUUGAAGGCUAGUAUGAAUGGUUUAACGAGAAUAUUACUGUCUCCUUACAACUUCUGAAAAAUUUAUUUUUGGGUGAAGAGGCCUGGAUAAUAUUAAAAGACAAGAAGACCCUAUCGAGCUUAAAAUAAAUUAGUAGACUCUUUAUAUAUUAAUUAGAAAAUUAGAUACUAAAAAUUUUGGUUGGGGCGACUAAGGAACAAAUAAAGCUUCCUGUUAUUAAUUUCCAAGAAAUAUACAGAUAUUGAUCCAGAUUACACUGACUAACGAAAUUAGUUACCGUAGGGAUAACAGCAUUAUCUUUUUUGAGAGCUCCAAUCGAAAAAAAGGUUUGUGACCUCGAUGUUGGACCAGAAUAUCCUAAAGAUGUAGCAGUCUUUAAAGGUUGGUCUGUUCGACCAUUAAAAUUCUACGUGAUCUGAGUUCA